AAUAGAUACCCAGGUAGUCCACGCCGUAAACGUUGGGCGCUAGAUGUGGGGACCAUUCCACGGUUUCCGUGUCGCAGCUAACGCAUUAAGCGCCCCGCCUGGGGAGUACGGCCGCAAGGCUAAAACUCAAAGGAAUUGACGGGGGCCCGCACAAGCGGCGGAGCAUGCGGAUUAAUUCGAUGCAACGCGAAGAACCUUACCAAGGCUUGACAUAUACCUGAAAAGGCUGGAAACAGUCUCCCCGUAAGGCAGGUAUACAGGUGGUGCAUGGUUGUCGUCAGCUCGUGUCGUGAGAUGUUGGGUUAAGUCCCGCAACGAGCGCAACCCUCGUUCUAUGUUGCCAGCACGUCAUGGUGGGAACUCAUAGGAGACUGCCGGGGUCAACUCGGAGGAAGGUGGGGAUGACGUCAAAUCAUCAUGCCCCUUAUGUCUUGGGCUUCACGCAUGCUACAAUGGCCGGUACAAAGGGCUGCAAUACCGUAAGGUGGAGCGAAUCCCAAAAAGCCGGUCUCAGUUCGGAUUGAGGU
rnacentral:rRNA from 1 species